AACGAACGCUGGCGGCAUGCCUAACACAUGCAAGUCGAACGAGACCUUCGGGUCUAGUGGCGCACGGGUGCGUAACGCGUGGGAACCUGCCCUUAGGUUCGGAAUAACUCCCCGAAAGGGGGGCUAAUACCGGAUAAUGUCUUCGGACCAAAGAUUUAUCGCCUUUGGAUGGGCCCGCGUUGGAUUAGCUAGUUGGUAGGGUAAAAGCCUACCAAGGCGACGAUCCAUAGCUGGUCUGAGAGGAUGAUCAGCCACACUGGGACUGAGACACGGCCCAGACUCCUACGGGAGGCAGCAGUGGGGAAUAUUGGACAAUGGGCGAAAGCCUGAUCCAGCAAUGCCGCGUGAGUGAUGAAGGCCUUAGGGUUGUAAAGCUCUUUUACCCGGGAUGAUAAUGACAGUACCGGGAGAGUAAGCUCCGGCUAACUCCGUG
rnacentral:rRNA from 1 species